GAUGAACGCUGGCGGCGUGCCUAAUACAUGCAAGUCGAGCGAACGGACGAGAAGCUUGCUUCUCUGAUGUUAGCGGCGGACGGGUGAGUAACACGUGGAUAACCUACCUAUAAGACUGGGAUAACUUCGGGAAACCGGAGCUAAUACCGGAUAAUAUUUUGAACCGCAUGGUUCAAUAGUGAAAGACGGUCUUGCUGUCACUUAUAGAUGGAUCCGCGCUGCAUUAGAUAGUUGGUACGGUAACGGGUUACCACGGCAACGAUGCAUAGCCGACUUCAGAGGGUGAUCGGCCGCACGGGAACUGGGACGCGGUCCAGACUCCUACGGGAGGCAGCAGUAGGGAAUCUUCCGCAAUGGGCGAAAGCCUGACGGAGCAACGGCGCGUGAGUGGUGAAGGUCUUCGGAUCGUAAAACUCUGUUAUUGGGGAAGAACAUAUGUGUAAGUAACUGUGCACAUCUUGACGGUACCUAAUCAGAAAGCCACGGCUAACUACGUG
rnacentral:rRNA from 1 species